GUUGAACGCUGGCGGCAUGCUUUACACAUGCAAGUCGAACGGUAACAGGCCUUCGGGUGCUGACGAGUGGCGAACGGGUGAGUAAUGCAUCGGAACGUACCCAGAGGUGGGGGAUAACGCAGCGAAAGCUGUGCUAAUACCGCAUGUGAUCUGAGGAUGAAAGCGGGGGACCGAGCAGCAAUGUUUGGCCUCGCGCCUUUGGAGCGGCCGAUGUCGGAUUAGCUAGUUGGUGGGGUAAAGGCCUACCAAGGCGACGAUCCGUAGCUGGUCUGAGAGGACGACCAGCCACACUGGGACUGAGACACGGCCCAGACUCCUACGGGAGGCAGCAGUGGGGAAUUUUGGACAAAGGGCGCAAGCCUGAUCCAGCAAUGCCGCGUGCGGGAAGAAGGCCUUCGGGUUGUAAACCGCUUUUGGCAGGAACGAAACGGUGUCCGCUAAUACCGGGCGCUAAUGACGGUACCUGCAGAAUAAGCACCGGCUAACUACGUG
rnacentral:rRNA from 1 species